rnacentral:rRNA from 1 species
UACGUAGGGUGCGAGCGUUAAUCGGAAUUACUGGGCGUAAAGCGUGCGCAGGCGGUUCGUUGUGUCGGCGGUGAAAGCCCCGGGCUUAACCUGGGAAUGGCCGUUGAAACUGGCGAACUGGAGUGUGGCAGAGGGGGGUGGAAUUCCGCGUUGGUAGCAGAUGAAAUGCGUAGAGAUGCGGAGGAACACCGAUGGCGAAGGCAGCCCCCUGGGCUGACACUGACGCUCAGGCACGAAAGCUAGGGGAGCAAACGGG